rnacentral:rRNA from 1 species
GAUGAACGCUGGCGGCGUGCCUAAUACAUGCAAGUAGAACGCUGAAGGAGGAGCUUGCUCUUCUGGAUGAGUUGCGAACGGGUGAGUAACGCGUAGGUAACCUGCCUGGUAGCGGGGGAUAACUAUUGGAAACGAUAGCUAAUACCGCAUGACAACAGUUAUUGCAUGAUAACUGUUUAAAAGGGGCAACUGCUCCACUACCAGAUGGACCUUCGUUGAUUUAGCUAGUUGGUGAGGUAACGGCUCACCAAGGCGACAAUACAUGGCCGACCUGCGAGGGGGUCCGGCAAAAUGGGACGGGAACACGGCCCAAACCUCCACGGGAGGCAGCAGGAAGGAAUCCUCGGGAAUGGACGGAAGUCUGGACGAGCAACGCCGGGUGGGGGAAGAAGGUUUUCGGAUCGGAAAGAUCCGUUGUAAGGGAAGAAAGAGAGUGGGAGUGGAAAGUUCACACUGUGACGGUAUCUAAUCAGAAAGGGACGGCUAACUACGUG